rnacentral:rRNA from 1 species
UACAGAGGUCCCAAGCGUUGUUCGGAUUCACUGGGCGUAAAGGGUGCGUAGGUGGCGGGGUCAGUCUGACGUGAAAUCUCCGGGCUUAACCCGGAAAUGGCGUUGGAAACUACCUUGCUUGAGGGUUGGAGGGGGGACUGGAAUACUUGGUGUAGCAGUGAAAUGCGUAGAUAUCAAGUGGAACACCAGUGGCGAAGGCGAGUCCCUGGACAACUCCUGACACUGAGGCACGAAAGCUAGGGGAGCAAACAGG